rnacentral:rRNA from 1 species
UACGAAGGGUGCUAGCGUUGUUCGGAAUCACUGGGCGUAAAGGGUGCGUAGGCGGCUUUGCAAGCCAGAGGUGAAAGCCUGGAGCUCAACUCCAGAACUGCCUUUGGAACUGCAUAGCCAGAGUGUCGGAGGGGAUAGCGGAAUUUCUAAUGUAGCGGUGAAAUGCGUAGAUAUUAGAAGGAACACCGGUGGCGAAGGCGGCUAUCUGGACGACAACUGACGCUGAGGCACGAAAGCGUGGGGAUCAAACAGG